UGUAGGCGGCCCGAUUAGUCCGCUGUGAAAGUCCAGGGCUCAACCCUGGAAUGCCGGUGGAUACUGUCGGGCUAGAGUCCGGAAGGGGCGAGUGGAAUUCCUGGUGUAGCGGUGAAAUGCGCAGAUAUCAGGAGGAGCACCAAUGGCGAAGGCAGCUCGCUGGGACGUGACUGACGCUGAGACGCGAAAGCGUGGGGAGCAAACAGGAUUAGAUACCCUGGUAGUCCACGCUGUAAACGAUGGCAACUAGAUGUGGGGGGUGUCGACUCCCCCCGUGUCGAAGCUAACGCAUUAAGUUGCCCGCCUGGGGAGUACGGCCGCAAGGCUAAAACUCAAAGGAAUUGA
rnacentral:rRNA from 1 species